UGAACGACUCUCGGCAACGGAUAUCUUGGCUCUCGCAUCGAUGAAGAACGUAGCGAAAUGCGAUACUUGGUGUGAAUUGCAGAAUCCCGUGAACCAUCGAGUCUUUGAACGCAAGUUGCGCCCGAGGCCUUUGGCCGAGGGCACGUCUGCCUGGGCGUCACGC
rnacentral:rRNA from 1 species